CCAAUAGCGUAUAUUAAAGUUGUUGCAGUUAAAAAGCUCGUAGUUGAAUUUCGGGGUUAGUAAGUUGGUUAUGCCACUGGUAUGUACUGGCUUUACUGAUUCCUCCUUCUUGUAGAACCGUAAUGCCAUUAAGUUGGUGUUGCGGGGAAACAGGACUGUUACUUUGAAAAAAUUAGAGUGUUUAAAGCAAGCUAACGCUUGAAUACAUUAGCAUGGAAUAAUGAAAUAGGACGUUCGAUCCUAUUUUGUUGGUUUCUAGGAUUGACGUAAUGAUUAAUAGGGAUAGUUGGGGGCAUUAGUAUUCAAUUGUCAGAGGUGAAAUUCUUGGAUUUAUUGAAGACUAACUACUGCGAAAGCAUUUGCCAAGGAUGUUUUCAUUAAUCAAGAACGAAAGUUAGGGGAUCGAAGACGAUCAGAUACCGUCGUAGUCUUAACCAUAAACUAUGCCGACUAGGGAUCGGAUGAUGUUAAUUUUUUAAUGACUCAUUCGGCGCCUUACG
rnacentral:misc_RNA from 1 species